rnacentral:rRNA from 1 species
UACAGAGGGGGCAAGCGUUGUUCGGAAUUACUGGGCGUAAAGGGCGCGUAGGCGGCCUUCUACGUCGAACGUGAAAUCCCCGGGCUCAACCCGGGAACUGCGUCCGAUACUGGAAGGCUUGAAUCCGGGAGAGGGAUGCGGAAUUCCAGGUGUAGCGGUGAAAUGCGUAGAUAUCUGGAGGAACACCGGUGGCGAAGGCGGCAUCCUGGACCGGCAUUGACGCUGAGGCGCGAAAGCCAGGGGAGCAAACGGG